ACCUUUAGCCUAAUUUGAAUAUUCCGGACACUUUUCGUGUUUUGACUUUUUCGAUCCGGAGUACGGUUUUUCCCGGAGUCGGUCCGGCGGAGUUUUGCGGGUAUUUGAAUUGUUGAUAAUUAUCCAGUUUGUCUCGAUAAGCGUGAAACUAGAUAUUUUGAUUAUUAUAUUAAUUCUUAUCUUGUAAUAAUUGCAAAUGGGACCCGCAUACUAAUGAUUGAUUUAAAACACCC
rnacentral:lncRNA from 1 species